GCAAGUCGAACGAGAACGGCCCUAGCUUGCUAGGGUGUCAGCUAAGUGGCGGACGGGUGAGUAAUGCAUAGCUAACCUGCCCCUAGGAUCGGGAUAACAGUUGGAAACGACUGCUAAUACCGGAUAUACUCUUUGGAGUGAAACGCUUUUGUGCCUAGGGAUGGGGCUAUGUCCUAUCAGUUAGUUGGUGAGGUAAUGGCUCACCAAGGCAAUGACGGGUAACUGGUCUGAGAGGAUGAAC
rnacentral:rRNA from 1 species